AUGUACGCAGUCCGUGGCAGUGGUGGCGACAGCGGCAGCAACGGCGCGGAACCGUGGAGAACACAGCCGAUCGAUCACGAUGCACUUCUUCUUACUUCAUGGUUUAUCUAUAUAUACAUAUAUCUCGUUCUUUCCACUCCUAAUCUCUCAGGUGACGCAAGGCCGGGAAGUUGCGUCGCCAGCGGGGGCGCACACUUGGCCGCUUUAUAUGGACUUGUCCAAGCUAGCUCCACGAAAAUCAUCAUCUGGAGACAUCUUAUGCGAGGAGACCUCAAGGCCAUCGGGAGAUUACCCCGGGAGGAACCGAGCCAAGAGGAGACGCGCCUGCGGUGGCUGCGUCGAGGAUGUGACGACGCGUCGGCGGCAGCGCGCACGGCCACCCCACAUACGCAUGGAGGCCAACACACGCCCAGUUGGAGAUGCUCCCAUGGCGGCGGCGGCGAGGAGAUCGCGAGGACGUGCCCAUGGCAAAGGCAUGCUCGCCGAGCAGCGCAUACACCCUGGUCGUCCGGCGGCUGCAGAUACACGAAGGAGCCCGCACAACUGGCCCUAGCACUCAAGGCGGCCGCGGGCGCCACCUAUGGCGCCUUCUUCGAUCGGCGUCUUCAUCCAUCUAGACCACCACAAGGCUGGCGGCGUCCCGGCGCCAUCUACACCAUAUGCCAGCAUCGGGCCUGUCGCCAUCUACACCACCGCGACAACGUCCAAGCUGCCGGCCUACAGCCCGGCGCCAUCUCCAUCCCGCCAUCAUCAACCUGCACCAUAGAAGAAGAAGCUCCGAUGACAUCUCCAUGGAGUCAACAAGACACUCGGUGGCAGCGACGUAGUACACGCUACAACAAAGCUCAAGAUGGCAGCGACCAGGUGCGCGCCCAUGAAGAUUGCAGACGAGGCGCCGAGACUAAGCAUGCCGGCGUCGACGACGGACUUGCGUGCAUACAGCUCGCCCGGUGCCACCAAAGAAGACGGAGGAGGAGUUACCCAUCGUCUUGGCAUCUUUAUCAACCUCGCCAAUGUCAUCAUCACCGACAUCAGGCUCGACGGUCAUUCAACUGCAUCAACUCUUCAUCCGAUGAGGACGACGUUUGCAUCAAUGCGCCGUCAUACGCCUACAUCGACUUCAUACCCGGGGUCGACACCGUUUACCGCGCCACGACAUCGCAAUCUUCAUCAACUCUUUGUUUGGCGAGGAUGUCCUCUACCUCGGCGCCACCGAACUUCGACAUGAUGAUAUUGCCAUCUUCUUUGACUUACUUCCUGGCGAGGAUGCCGACUGUAUCGGCACGCUACCAUCCUUCUACACCAACCGUCUGCACUAAGUGGAGGCGAAGGCAAGCCACCAUGUCCGACACCAACGAGGCGGACACAACCAGGCCGGGCACCGACGAGGCGAAGGCCACCCAUCUGUCUGAGCUGACGAAGCCAGACAUCUUCAUCAUUGGACAUCGACAAGCCGGAGGGAUAUUGCAAGCAUUGUCGAAGCGAGGGAUGGUGGCAGAGAGACCGGAGGCGGACGUGGUGGUGAUCGGGAGCGGGCUCGGGGGGAUCUGCUGCGCGGGCCUCUUCCUCCUGGCGAGGUACAACCAGGACGGGGUGGUGCUGUAG
rnacentral:rRNA from 1 species